UGCUCUGCUAUAUUGGGGGGGGGGAAGUUUUCGGGAAUUUUAAAGACUUGCUUUGAAGGGAACAUCGUUUUAACAUUUUAGUUUUUCCUCUCCCUGAAAGGUCUUCUCAGGAGGCAGUUGGAAGGGGCAUGUUUGUUGGCAGUGUUUGAGGAAUUGUGGCAAGCAGAAGCGGUCACAGAACAACGGAUAGAAGCGAGUGUACUGCAGAAAGGGGGGAAAAUGGAUUCCAUAGACCACAAACGGCAUGUAUGUCUCUUGAUGACUUGGAAAGGAAAAUAGUGCCUGUGGUGACUUAAAGAUGAAGUUCAUGCCCAAUUAGAAUCAUUCAAAUAAGCACUUACUGAGGAUGCACUACCAAGCAAGC
rnacentral:lncRNA from 1 species